rnacentral:lncRNA from 12 species
AGACUAUAUAAUACCUGCAGAGAUGAGUCGUGUGAAAUUCUAGCAUCUCCGCAUGGUCCAAGGUCAUCCUGGGUUCAGAUGUCAGUAAGAGGAUCUACUUGACGAAAUCUCCAAGGCAAGAGCAUCCCAAGGAAUCUUGACUUCUCCAGGCUGGAGCUUUUUUCACAUAAAUCAAAGAAGCAAGACUGUCAAUGGCAUGAGACAUUCACACACUGAACUCAGCAGAAAGGAUGGCUCAACUUUCUCUUCUUCAUGAGGUCCCUUAACCCUGAACUCAAGGUAGUACCUUCAAAAGAAAUUUAGUUUGGUGUCUCAUUUAUCUGUUGAUUUUAGUGUUAAAUUGCUAUGAGGUACUAACGUUGAAGAAGACCUGCCUCCACAAAGAGCUGUCCUG